rnacentral:rRNA from 1 species
UACGUAGGGUGCAAGCGUUGUUCGGAAUUACUGGGCGUAAAGGGCUCGUAGGUGGCCAACUAAGUCAGACGUGAAAUCCCUCGGCUUAACCGGGGAACUGCGUCUGAUACUGGAUGGCUUGAGUUUGGGAGAGGGAUGCGGAAUUCCAGGUGUAGCGGUGAAAUGCGUAGAUAUCUGGAGGAACACCGGUGGCGAAGGCGGCAUCCUGGACCAACACUGACACUGAGGAGCGAAAGCCAGGGGAGCAAACGGG